rnacentral:lncRNA from 1 species
CGGCGCCAGCGACGCCAGUAUUUAUAUUAGGGGGCGUGGCCUGGUGACAUCACAGCUGGCCGGGCAGCCGCGCGAGCGGGGCGGAACCCGGUUGCAGCCCGGAGAAAAGGGAGGGGGACGGAAGAGGAAGGAGGACUGAGCCCGGGAGAGAGAGGGGAGGGGUCGGCGCGCGACCGGGUCAUGCAGGUGCAGACUGGCCGGUCGCUUCCCGCCCUCCAGCCACCCGCAGCUCCCCGGCAGGCGAAGGGCGGCCGCGCGGGUGUGGGCCGAGAGAGGGAGGCGGCUCGGCUGGAGCGCGCCGUCCGCCCGACCCCCGCCGCCUCUCGGGCGCCUGCGCUCACGCUGCGGGGCCCAGCGCAUUGUGAGCCGGGUCGAGCUCCACGCUGGCAGCGUCUGAGAGCUGUCCUGGGCCGGAGGUGGCGCGAACCCUGUGCGGCCUAGAGUGGGCCUGGGGAAGCCAGCUGCCAUGUUCUGAGUACUCUCUGGAAGGGCCUGCAUGGCAAGGAACUGAUGUUUCCAGCCAGCAGCCAGCAAGAACUGCAAGCCUUGUGAAUGAGCUUGGAAGCAGAUCCUCCCCUCACUCAAGCCAUGAUAUGACAACAGCCUGAGACCCAGAGGAUGAAGGAGCCGAGGAAGACAGACAGAAUGUGGGAGAGGCUGGAGCUGGCUGAGAAGCAAAGACAAGGGGGACACAGAGGGACAAGCCACCCUGUCCCUGAGAAUUCCCCAGUUUUCUGGCCAAUUUGGGUGAAACCCAGCAACUCUUUGUGUUCCAUCCGUCGAUACUGUGAGGUCUCUCUAUACACUCAGUAAAUGCUCCUUUUUACCUCACUGGACUAAUGCUUUUUAGAGUCACAUGCAUGCUGACUUCAACAAAGCAAAUUGUUUAUCUGAAUCAACUCUGCCGUGUACCAUGUCCAGUCACUUGAAUUUCUAUUUCAUCUUUGACUCUCCAUUUGCUAAUUAUGACUUUGGGCAAAUCUUUUGUUCACUCUGUGUAUUUGUCCAUUUUCACAUUGCUGUAAAGAUACUGUUGAGACUGGUAUCUUUAUAAACUGGUAAUUUAUAAACAAAAGACGUUUAAUUGACUCACAGUUCUGCAUGGCUGGAGAGGCCUCAGGAAACUUACAAUCAUCUUGGAAGGAAAAGGGGAAGCAGGGCGCAUCUUACAUGGCAGCAGGCAAGAAGAAGAGAAAGGGGUAAGUGCCAGAUACUUAUCAAACAAGCCCAUCUCAUGAGAACUCACUAUCACGAGAACAGCAGGGGGAACUGCCCUCAUGAUCCAGUCACCUCCCACUAGGACCCUACCUUGACAUGUGGGGAUUACAAUUUGGAUUGCAAUUCAACAUGAGAUUUGUGUGGGGACACAGAGCCAAACCAUAUCACUCUGUGUCUCAGUUUCUUUAGUAGGUAAAAUGCAAUAAUUUCAUAUGGUGCUUUAUCAAUUUCCAUACAUUAUCUCAUGUGAAUUUUUAAAAAGUUCUUAUGAUACAGGCUAAGAAUUUUUCCCCAUGUUUUACAAACAAAGGAACUUUCCCAAGAUCUCACAAUUAAGUCCUAGUGAAAUGGGACUCAAACACCAGUCUCUGACUUCUAUCUACUCAGGUGGUCAUCAACUCUACCUCAGAGAAUAUAAAUUUUUUUUUAAUGGUAAGUCUUUGCAGAUUGAUUAAGAUCCCCUUGAGAAUUUUUGGUAAAAGACUUUGAAGUCAUAAGAGGUAACAGUGACUUCAUAUUAUAUUUGUAUGAGUCCUGUUUCAAAAUAUAUUGAUAAUGUGGCUGGGUGUGAUAGCUCAUGACUGUAAUCCAGCACUUUGGGAGGCCGAGGUGGGUGGAUCACCUGAGGUCAGGAGUUCAAGACCAGCCUGGCCAACAUGGCGAAACCCCAUCUCUACUAAAAAUACAAAAAUUAGCCAGGCAUGGUGGCACAUGCCUGUAACCCCAGCUACUUGGGAGGCUGAGGCAGGAGAAUCGCUUGAACCCAGAAGGCAGAGGUUGCAGUGAGCUGAGAUCAUGCCAUUGCACUCCAGCCUGGGCAACAAAGUGAGACUCCAUCUCAAGAUAGAUAGAUAGAUAGAUAGAUAGAUAGAUAGAUAGAUAGAUAAUGAAUUCUAUGAUAGGACCACUAGAGUGGAGAUCUGUAGUUCUAAUAAAGUACUUUAUUUCUAAAAAUAUGCAUAAUACUUGCCUGUGUCAUGGGCUUCAUGAAGAAUUCCAGUUACUAUCUGAAAGUUUAAUUGCAAGGUUUGGAGCUCAAGAUGUUACUUAUCCUCAUGGGCAGUACCUGUUACUUCCCCACUGUAAAAUAUGCUAGCUCAGGUCACAAGGAACUUUGAGUGCUAGGAUAGUACCCCACGGUCCAGUUCCCCAGAACUUCUUCCCAGUGUCUCCACAGCCACUCACACAGCCUGAGCAGGUCUUGCCACUGGCAGCUCUCUUCCCCUACUUCCUCCAGGCCAGGGGUUGGCCUGAUUCUGCUUAGAGCCUGCAUGCGGCUCCCUCAGAGCCUUGGGGUGGCCAAUCUUUGCUGCUUCCCAGAACCACCUUGUACUCUUCCAUGCAGAGCCCUGUUGAGUCACCAUGCCUUCCUCCAGCUGCUGCCACAGACCACAUGGCUUCUUUCUCAAUUAACUCUGAAAGAGAAAAGUACGUUAUGCAAACCAGGUGGGAGCACAAGAGCGCAACCCCCUUCCUCCCCAACACAGAGAAGCACACUGGGGCUCCUUGUGUAAUUUAGAGGUUAACUAACACAUCAUGUUGCAAUUGUGCCUAUGUGAAAAAGAAAUGGAAGGAGGAACCAGGUUUGGAGCUGAUUCUCUGCUGCAAGGGCUUACCCUCAGUCUGACCUGUGCAGUAAGACUGAGAGAAGCACUAAGGGUAUGGCUGGAAAAGAUCAUAAUAUUAAAACUAUUUUACUAUAAUGAUGAUAGCUACCAUUGUAGUGAUAUGCAAUAAUAUUAGUAACACUGAAGUCUUUACUAUAUGCCAUCCUGUGUGUUAAAUCUUUUAUGUAUGUUGUGUAUAUAAUACAUGUAAAGCCUUGUUGUUGUUGUUUUUGAGACAUAGUCUCACUCUGUCGCCCGGGCUGGAAUGCAGUGGCGUGAUCUCAGCUCGCUGCAACCUCUACCUCCCAGGUUCAAGCAAUUCUCCUGCCUCAGCCUCCCGAGUAGCUGGGACUACAGGCGCCUGCCACCACGCCCAGCUAAUUUUUUUGUAUUUUAGUAGAGACAGGGUUUCAAUGUGUUGGCCAGGCUGGUCUUGAACUCCUGAGCUCAGGCAAUCUGCCUGCCUCGGCCUCCCAAAGUGCUAGAAUUACAGAUGUGAGCCACCGCACAUAGCCCAUGUAAAGCCUUUAACAUAGUGCCUGGCACAAAGUAAGUGCUCAAUAAAAGAUAAUCAUAGCAUUAUUAUUUUGUUUAUCUUCACAGCCAUCCUGAAUUAUUUGACAAGCCUUUGCUCUUCAGUCAGUCGUUCCUUUAGGGAAUGUUUAUUGAGCCUGUACUAUUUACCCAGCACUAUAUAUAUAUAUAUAUAUAUAUAUAUAUAUAUAUAUAUAUAUAUAUAUAUUUUUUUUUUUUUUUUUUUUUUGAGACAGAGUUUUGCUUUUGUUGCCCAGGCUGGAGUGCAAUGGCUCGAUCUCGGCUCACUGCAACCUCUGUCUCCUGGGUUCAAGCAAUUCUGCAGCCCCAGCUUCUCAAGUAGCUGGGAUUACAGGCGCCUGCCACCACGCCUGGCUAAUUUUGUAUUUUUAGUAGAGAUGGGGUUUCACCAUGUUGGUCAGGCUGGUCUUGAACUCCUGACCACAGGUGAUCCGCCUGCCUCAGUCUCCCGAAGUCCUGGGAUUACAGACAUGAGCCACUCCACCCAGCCUUCCGAGCACUAUAUUAGGCGCUGGGGAUACUUAGAAGAGUGAAUGCCCUUUCGGACAUGGGUUCCAAUCUGGCUUAACCACUAUCUUUCUGGGUAACUUUGAGCAUGCUUCUUAAGCUUUCUGAGCCUGAGUUUAUUCAACUGUUAAAUAUGUACAAUAAUUUCUAUGUCAUAAGAUUGUUGAUAGGACUGGAAACACAUGCAAAGGGCUUAGCCCAGCUCAGUGUUCAUACAAGGAGAAGCUCCUCAGCCAGGCCUGCUGGCUCACGUCUGUAAUCCCAACACUUUGGGAGGCUGAGGCAGGUGAAUCAAUUGAACUCGAGAGUUCGAGACCAACCUGGGUAACAUGGCAAAACCCUAUCUCUACAAAAAAUACAAAAAUUAGCUGGGUGUGGUAGUGCCUGCCUAUAGUCCCAGCUACUCAGG